rnacentral:tRNA from 1 species
GCGGCUGUGGCGGAAUUGGUAGACGCGCAAGAUUAAGGAUCUUGUGGAGGUUACUCUGUGCCGGUUCAAGUCCGGCCAGCCGCA